rnacentral:rRNA from 1 species
GACGAACGCUGGCGGCGUGCUUAACACAUGCAAGUCGAACGGAAAGGCCCUGCUUUUGUGGGGUGCUCGAGUGGCGAACGGGUGAGUAACACGUGAGUAACCUGCCCUUGACUUUGGGAUAACUUCAUGAAACUGGGGCUAAUACCGGAUAGGAGCUCCUGCUGCAUGGUGGGGGUUGGAAAGUUUCGGCGGUUGGGGAUGGACUCGCGGCUUAUCAGCUUGUUGGUGGGGUAGUGGCUUACCAAGGCUUUGACGGGUAGCCGGCCUGAGAGGGUGACCGGCCACAUUGGGACUGAGAUACGGCCCAGACUCCUACGGGAGGCAGCAGUGGGGAAUAUUGCACAAUGGGCGGAAGCCUGAUGCAGCAACGCCGCGUGCGGGAUGACGGCCUUCGGGUUGUAAACCGAUUUCGCCUGUGACGAAGCGUGAGUGACGGUAAUGGGUAAAGAAGCACCGGCUAACUACGUG